UGAGGAAGAGUCUGAGAUAAGGUAGUUCAUCAACAAUUGCACCUACACCUCCGUUUUUACUUCCUCUUGAGAGGGCAUCGUUAUACUCUUCCAAUGUGCUAUAACUUCUGAACUUGGUGCUGUCAAAUUUCAUGCUCUUCAAGACGCCUCUGACAAAGGAACCUUUUUGGUACCCAACAUAUUCUCCACGCUUGAUGAGAUCAUUGAGGUCUGUUAUUGUAGGUUGAAUCUUUUGUGCUGUCAACAUAGAUGUUAAACUGGCUGUAUAACUUGAUGUCAGUACCAGAACCACGAAAACCCACACGAUCAGCACAAAUCUUGUAAAGUUACUUGUUACUCUCUCUUCUGAAACAACCAACCACAUAUAUAUGAUUUGUUGAGAAACUAGCUAGGAUAAAUAUAAAGCUUUCAUAAAUAAUUUACUUUGAGUUAGAGGCUUACUAUGAGCAAAAACGAGAGUUGAGAAGGAAAACCAGAAUAUCAUCCCAACUUGCUCUCGUUUAGGUCCUCGAAACUCUUUGUUUACACGAUGUUCGAGCACCCAAACCACAAAACCAAUGAAAACGAAGAAUGCUCCUGUUGUUACCCAAAGCUCGCUCUUUAGUGGUUUCACGAAAAUCCAAGCAUUCUUCCUGUCAUCAUCCUUUACUGGCACAACUGCAGAAAAACCUGACUCUGUAAAAGGUAAUGUGAAAUCCACAUACUUGGAUCGGUUUGCUGAAAUGGUUAUGUCACCUAUAAUUGCAUCAAAUUUCUGGUUAAAGUAAACAAUGAUCAUUUCAGUACUUAUGGUUGGUCUUCCUCUGCCAAAACAAAAGCGAAAUAAGAAAAUCUAGAGGGAGCAUGGAUGUAAUGUAAGGCAUUCAGCCAAAGGAGGCUAAUUUGAACAAGGAUUAGAUACUCUAUUACCUUAGAAAAUAGCUUAUAAGCAUGAUCAUCAAAGUCUGGAGACGUGGGGCUAUCUGGUAUUUGAAAUGGGAUGAAUUCGUAAGGGAGAGCAUAAGGCAAGGAUUGGAUGACUUCUUUGAAGACAUCUGCACAGAAACCAGUUACAGUUACUUCCUGUGUUUUUGAAUCUAUUUCCACUUUAAGGAAUUGCUCCAGCCCUUCUUUGUCAGGAACUCCAACCCUUAACUUCUUGCCACUUGUGGGUAUUUCCCAGCCUUUUGGAACAAUAGUAGAUUCACCUGGCCAAAAAAUGCCUCCUAGUUGCUUAUCAUUACACUUAGCUGCUGUUUUACCAUUGGUUUUCAGUUUACACGAAAUUCCAUCCUUUUCUGUCCAGAAUCCAAUGUUUCUCUCUGCUUUCCCAAUUAUAUUCACAAUCUGAUAUGGGGAAGGCUGCAAUUCUCCAUCAACAAUGCGGAAAUCACCACUUAGACCUGUUUUUAGCGCUGUGUUUUGCAUAGAGUGAAGGAGCAAAGAUCCCAAUUCUGAGGUUCCAAGUGCAUCCAAGUCCGUUAAGUACUCUCUAUUAUCUGCUUUUUUGAAUUUUGGGAUGGCAGUGCCAACCACUUUCUCUACUGCUUUUGCUAAUGCUGUGAUGCCAUCAUAUGCCCAUAGCCCAAAAACAUUGAGUUCUACUAUGUCUAUGUCUGGAUACUCUUGACGGAAUCUCCUCCUCCACCUCUUGGUGUAAUUGAUAAGCUCAUUUGUUCGUGGAACAUAUGGCUUUACACCAAGAACACCUUGCAUUGAUGACUCAAUCACUGAAGUAUCUACCGAGUCAAGAAGACUCGUUAGCACAUCUGUGAUGAUCCAUGCAUAUCCAUCGCUCAUCAUCCCGGCUUUGUUUGCCUUGAGGAAAAGGCGUUUGGCAAGUAAUGGUCUCAAGUGCACAAUGAAGACCCUGGUCUGCAUUGUUUUCAACUUGUAUAGCUCACUGAGGAUUUGAUCAUCAUUGGCUGACGGAGAAAUAACAGUUCUAUAGGAGACUGAAGUGCCGAUUUCCAGCAAGGCAUCAGUCAAAUGUGGAACUAUCCCAGUUCCAAAGGGGCUAUCCUCAUAGAUGACUACAACCUCCUUCCAAUCAAAGUUCUUUACAAUUGCUGCAAUGGCCAUAGUCUGGCUGGAAGAAGGAAGUGCCCCUCUGAUGAAAAAGGGAUUUUCCUUAACUGUAAGUAAAGGACUUGUUGCUGGAGAAAUGAUAGGGACUUUUACUCUGUUCCCUAAGUCAAUCACAAAAUCAGUUUGUGUAGACAUUUGUGGCCCAAAGAUAGCUUGUACUUGGACAUCCUUUAGCAAGUAUAUGGCUGCACAUACACAAUCAGACUGUAAGAAAUUGAUAGGGCAUGAAUAACUAACUACCAGAGUAUGUCUGAUAGCUUGUUUGUUCAAACUUCUGGGAAGCCAAAAGUACUUAUUUUAGUGACUCGUGAAGCAAAGAAAAUAAGAUAUGCAUGCUAGGUUAAGAGAAGUAUAUCAAGGAGCUGAAUUUACCAGCGGAUGCUGCUUCAACAUCAUCUUUCUUGGAAUCCCUCAAGUGAGGGAUUAUCCUAAUGGCACUGUGACUAGCGGUGGCAUGGUAAUCAUCAAGUGCUAGUAAGAUAGAUAUGUGCAUUACUUUUCCCACAUCUGUUUCCAGAUCAAGAAUUAUGCCCACAUCUACUUUUGCAACACUAUUUUUAUUAUCUUCACCUUUUAUUGGCAUCAUAUGGUGGUAAAAGCUAAUGAUGGACACAAAUUGAAUCAAAACAAUUAGGAAGUGGCAUUUUGAACUUCUCAUUUUGAGAGUUGUGCUUGUGCAAGUAACCAACUUACAAUGAUAUUCUCUAAAGUUUUUCAGAAUCAGUGAAUUUAUAGAUUUCAGAAUCAGUAAAGAGCUUGACUAAUAUGAGUUCAUACUCCAUACCAUAAUUGGGGGCAAAAGUCCAUCCCGUCUUCCAUUAUGCUUUUAGUAUUCGUGGUCAAGAAGUAAACGAUAAAUACUGCAUCGAUGUUGAUUCAUUUGCAUAAGGAAGUUGCUUAGUAAGUUGCCAAUAUGUUGAAAAGAAAAUAUAUGAGGCUUAAGUCGACACCUUAAUGUUGUCCACGUAAUUUAUAUUGACAUUUCAAGAGACCGUUUUUUCUGUUAGACACUCCAAUAUUAACAAAUAUGAUCUAUUAAAUACAUCAUGCAACAUGGUGUAGAAAGUGAUAGGCACUAGUCACCCCGGCCCGAAUAAGCUGCGUGAUUCUAAUGAAUCCCAUUAGGGUUUAAAGUGGGCUUCAAACACUGGAUGUGAAAUAAAAAAAAGGUUAUAUACACUAGCCACAACUUAAAAAAUGGAUAGAUAUUGCUACAUCUUCUUCCUUUUUUUAAAAUUGGAAGUAGUGACGGAGCCAAAUUUUUUACAAAGGUGUCCAAAAAUAGUACAACAAAAACUCUUUCCAAAAAGUGGAAAAACAUUUGUUGCUAAUGGGAUUCAAACACACCAGACUGCCUCAUUACAAGCGUCUAAACCACUCGGUUACAAUAGCUUGUUGUGUUAAGGGUGUCCAAAAUAUGUUAUUUAAUCAUUUUACUUGUAUAUACAACAUAUUUUUUCGAUGAGGAGUGUCCAAUUGGACACCCUGACAGCAAUGUAGCUACGCCACAGACUGCAAGACACUAAUACUUAUAUAAAACAAUAUAUAAAUUUUCUCAUAACUUAUGUAUAUAUUAGUUAUGCAAAAAUCUGCAUAAGUCAAUCCAACAUUGUAUUCAUUUUAUACAUGAAUAACUUAUUUUCUAUCUACAUGUCAAACAUCAUAUAAGUUAUACAAGAAUUUAUACAUGAGUAAUUUAUUUUUUUAUCGAGAACAUCCUAAGUGCAUAAGGCAAUAUGAUGUUUAUCUUUGUUUUCUCUUUUAGGCAAAUGAUGGAGCCUCAUUAAGUGAGUAUAUGAUUCAUUUAUAAGAUUUCACGUAAAUUCAUGUUUGCAUAUAGGAGUUUCUUAUAUCUAUCAUGAGAACUUUAUAUAUUUAAAUACACUUUUAUAUAAUUUUACGCAUAUGUAAACUAAAUUUGAAAUUAAAACAAUGUAAUAUUUAUAUUCAACUCAAUAAUAAUGUAUUUAGAAUCUAUCUUCCAAAGCUAUAAUAAAAAUGAAAUUUGUAAUUUUGAAAAUAAAAUAAAUUAUUUAUUAAUACAAUUUUUGUGAUACAACACUUUCCAUGAAAUAUAAUGUUGGACCAAAACAACGCUGCUAGUCUGUUACCGUAGUAUUGGUUUACGCUGUCCAAAAUAAAAAUCUGUACUAACUGCAUGCAUGUGAAGAAAUAUUCAAUAAAUAUAUUGGAUUCCCACUUGUUCCCAUCUUUUUCCAUAACACUUCCAGUCCCACUUGAUGAGGUGAAGCUAAAAGUCUGAAUACGGAUUUGAUCGAAUAAUUAUUAAUUAAACGAUAAUACUUUAUCUAGUUUAUAUCACGUGAAUUAUUGAAAUUUUUCCAUACACCCCAUGAAAUAUAAUUCCUGCCCCGCAAUAUUUAGAGCAAUAAAAAUUUAAGUUUCAUAAGAUUAGUCAUAUAUUAAAAAGAAGAAAAGUAUUUACCUUAGUCAUCGAAAUAAUGCCUAUUUGGUCUAAUAAUAGAUAUUACUAGAAAAAACCAAUGAAAAAAAAUUCUAAAAGAAAAAAAAGAGUGUAAUACUUCCUCCGUUCUGUUUUACUUGUCAAAUUUGACUUGACAUACCUAUUAAAAAAAGAGAAACUUUCACAUAUAGCAAACAAAAAAAUCAUAUUUGUAUGCUAUAGCAAAGUUUGCAUAAUUGCGCUCCAUAGCAAACAUAUAUAUGUAUAAUUCGCUAUACAUAUAUACAAAAAGAAGCAAUUGUAUAAUUCGUUGGCUCCUCUUCAGAAUUGUAUAAUUUCGCUGGCAGGCCAUUUGUAUAAAUUGUUGUUAGCCUCUCGUUUGUAUAAAUCGUUGACAAACAUAAAUUAUACAUUAUACAAGCAUAAAACUGGGCAGGGGAAUAUUUUUAUUGUAUAAUUAUAAGUGUAUAGGACGAAUAUAUAUGUAUUUGCAUGUGUAUAUACAAUUUUCUCUCGCUUUAUACAAACAGAAACGCAAUUUAUACACUUCUGUUGUAUAAAGCGAGAGAGGCGAGCACAGAGAGAGUGAGCGAGAGAGGAGAGUGGCGAGCGAGAGUUUGAGGGAGAGAGGCGCUGGCAAACAGUUUGCUACAGGACACAAUUAAAUCAAAGUGUGAUUAUACCAUUUAAUUUGAAUUAAUAGUUUGCCAUUAUGUACAAUUUUCCCUUCAUUAAAUAAAAGAGGCCCAUGGUCUCACAUGGGGGUGUUCACGGUUUGGAUAAAAAUCGAUUCAAACCGAAAAACCAAACCAAAUCGAUAAAAUAAAACCAAUUUUAUUUGGGUUUGGUUUGGUUUGGUUUUAGAUUUUUGAAAACUGAUAGUAUUUGGUUUGAUUAUGGUUUUAUUUGAAAAAAACCGAAGAAAUAACCAUACUUAAUAUAUUAUUUUUAUAAACAAUUUUAAAGAUCUUAUACAUAUUUUCAUUAAAAUUUCUUUAGUGUAUAGGACGAAUAUAUAUGUAUUUGCAUGUGUAUAUACAAUUUUCUCUCGCUUUAUACAAACAGAAACGCAAUUUAUACACUUCUGUGUAUAAAACGAGAGAGGCGAGCACAGAGAGAGUGAGCGAGAGAGGAGAGUGGCGAGCGAGAGUUUGAAGGAGAGAGGCGCUGGCAAACAGUUUGCUACAGGACACAAUUAAAUCAAAGUGUGAUUAUACCAUUUAAUUUGAAUUAAUAGUUUGCCAUUAUGUACAAUUUUCCCUUAAAAAAACAAAGAUUAGUAUAAUGAGUUUACUAUUUUAUCCUUAUUGAUAGAUAGAGUCUUAAACAUAUUUACUCACUACAUUUUCAAAACAUUAACUCAAUGUUAAAAAAAAAAAUAUAGGGUAUAAUAAGAAGAAACCAUUUGUCCUUUUUUGAUUUAUUAAAAAUGGCAAGUAAAAAAGGAAAUCAAAUUAGGAAGUACUCUCCCUGUCUCUAUUUACUUGUCCAUUUUUUAUUUGACACUUAUUAAGAAAAUUAUAAUUAACCUAAUGAGUUUACCAUCGUACCCCUAUUAAUGGAUAGAAUUUCAAAAUUGAUUUAGUUCUACUUUUUCAAAAACAUUAACUAUCUAACUAAAUUGUGGAUAUAAUAGGUAAAAAAUAUUAUCUUUUCUUGAUUUGUCAAAAAAUAACAAGUAUAAAAAAACAAGUAAAAAAUCAAAAUUGAACUAGUAAAAAAGGAAGAAUGAGUAUUUGAUGAGUAAAUAGGGACGGAGGAGUAAUACACAUUGUUAGGUGCGGAAAGCAGAGAAUCCAGAAUUAGAUGCAAACAAUGGAAUAACAGUUGUGCUGAGGGCACAGGACAGCCACAUAUUUCACUACAGAUAAGAGGAGAUAAUAAUGUUUCUCUUCUGAAAUACGGUACAUUUUUUUUUUCUUUCUUCCACAAUUUUAAAAUAACACAAUCUGAUCCUUUAAAUGCUAAUUCAAGGUGCAACAAUUUUCUCUUGGUUUGUAUAUGUAUAUAUAUUUGGCAGUUAGAGUUUAACCUAAAUGAUCCUCUCUUGUUUCAUGUUUUGUGGUCUACUAUCUUUAAUUUCCUCUUUGUAAUCGACAUUGUGUGUGGUUUAUUUUAUCUCAAAACUAAACAUAAUGCCUGUCAUAGCUGCAGAAAUGUUUGUAUGGUUGUUCCUAUUCCUUUGAAAUCUUUCAUUUGCCACCUGCAAAAAACCUUUAGGAAAAUAGAGGCAAAUGCUUCCUUAUUUACUUGGGUUCAACUUGUGAACCACUAAUUUCGACUUAAUAAUAACAUAACCAGUGUAACCCCACUGGGAUGAGGUCGGGAGAGGGUGGUGUGAGAAACUGUUUCCCAUAUACUUUUUAUAAAAAGUCAAGUAUAUAAAGCAAAUACAAUAAUUUCAACACGGAACGUUAAUAUAAGUGGAAGGCUAGUAGAAUUUCAAUGAUUCUGACGGUUCCGUCAGCUCCAGAUACUUAACUCAUAAUUUCAGAAGUGCAAUGAAUUCAAUCUUAUGAACUUAAAUGUUGAACCCAUCAUAUCUAAAUUCUAGAGCCAGCUCUUGAUACAAAUAGAUGAAACAUAGAUAUGCUCUUUAACUUGCCUCAACUCACAUUUAUGUCCUCCAACUUUGGGGGUACACAAAUAGACACUUAAACUUGUAAAAAGUUGAACAAAUAACACAAACGUCUUAUGUGGCAUCUUACAUGCAAUUUGCGUCAUACAUGGUGGUCCUAUGUGGAUAAUGCCACGUAGGACUCAUGUGUCUACUUGUUCAACUUUAUACAAUUAAGUGUCUACUUGUGCAUACCCAAAAUUGGAGAGCAUAAAUGUAAAAUGUGACCAAGUUAAAUGCAUAUUUAAGUACUAUGCCAUACAAAUAUUAUGGCCAAGAGAGACGGUUUUAAUGUCUUCUGGUCAAACUGUAAAGUUAGCUCAUCUCUGUACAAUCUCUUGUAGGGCUCAAUUCAAUCUCUCUUCAGUUUUCAUGAACUGGAGUUCCAGGUUCUGUUGUAGAGAACAACACUUCAGGUGCAGGGGAUGCUCCUAGGCAGUCAGAAAUUCUGAUGUCUAGGCUUUGAAAAGGAAGGUUGGGCAAUACUUCAGGGAAAGUUUCACUUGCUGCGAACAGUGUAGCUGUUUGUCUAACAUUGCCUUCAAAUGGAUUUUCUGACUUAACAUUAGAGUUGUCUUUCUCUUCACCAAAAACUUUUGCUAUUGCAGAAAACUUUUUCCAUAUUGAAUCAUCAGUGACUAAGAUUUCUCUAUUUUGAUAAAGAAAGUUGAGGAAGAAUAGGAGAAGAGCAGAACCUGCUGAUACACCAGCUAUGAGGAAAAGUCCCUUAAAACUGUCUAGCGCGAGGCUAUCAGAUGUUAUAUCCAUUAUAUCUUUCUGUGGACAAUCUGUUUCAUUCCCAAACCAUUUCUGAAUUAUGUUAUUCAUAUCUCCCUCCAUCACCUUCAAGACUGCUCUUGCUACAUCUGGUACCAAAGGUGAUCCUUUUGGAAAUGCCUGUAAGAAGUUGUGUGAUAAUAAAAGAUUAGAUUGAGUGAACUACCGUGGAUAGUAUAAUUUCAAUUAUGGAACAUUUCCAGGCGCAGAGAGAAUCUUACAAAUCCAAAACCAGCAGUCUUGUAAGUCAGACCAACCAUAGUAUACUUCCUGCAGUAUCUAUUGAGGAAGAGUCUGAGAUAAGGUAGUUCAUCAACAAUUGCACCUACACCUCCAUUUUUACUACCCCUUGAGAGUGCAUCAUUAUACUCUUCCAAGGUGCUAUAACUCCUAAAUUUGGAGCUGUCAAAUUGCAUGCCCUUCAAGACAUCUUUGACAAAGGAACCUUUUUGGUACCCUACAUAUUCUCCAUUCUUGAUGAGAUCAUUGAGGUCUGUUACAGUAGGUUGAAGCUUUUGUGCUGUUAACAUAGAUGUUAAGCUGGCUGUAUAACUUGAUGUCAGCACCAGAACCACGAAAACCCACACAAUCAGCACAAAUCUUGUUAAGUUACUUGUUACCCUCUCUCCUGCAAUAACCAGCCAUAUAUGAUUUGUUGAGAAAUUCUAAAGUUCUCGUCUAUAAUUUGCUUUGAGUUAGAGACUUACUAUGAGCAAAAACGAGAGUUGAGAAGGAAAACCAUAAUAUCAUCCCAACUUGCUUGCAUUUGGGUCCUCGAAACUCUUCGUUUACACGAUGCUCCAGUACCCACACAACAAAACCAAUGAAAACAAAGAAUGCUCCAGUUGUCAUCCAAAGCUCUCUCUUUAGAGGUUUCACGAAAAUCCAAGCACUCUUCCUGUCAUCAUCCUUUAUUGGCACAACUGCAGAAAUACCCGACUCUAUAAAAGGUAAUGUGAAAUCCACAUACUUGGAUCGGUUCGCUGAAAUGGUCACAUCACCUAUAACUGCAUCAUGUUUCUGGUUUAAGUAAACAAUGGUUGGUUCAGUGCUUUUGCCAAAGAAAAAGCAAAAUAAGAAAAUCCAAAUGGAGCAUGUGGGUAAGGUAUUCCGCCAAAGAGGGUAAUUCAAACAAGGAUUAGAUAUUACCUUAAAAAAGAGCUUAUAAGCAAGAUCAUCAUAUCCUGGAGAAUUGGGGCUACGUGUUAUUGGAACUGGAACAAAUUCGUAAGGGACAGCAUAAGGCAAAGAUUGGAUGACUUCUUUGAAGACAUCUGCACAGAAACCAGUUGCAGUAACUGCUUGUGUUUUUGAAUCUCUUUCCACUUAAAUGAAUUCCUGCAGCCCUCCUUUGAUAGGAACUCCAACCCUUAGCUUCUUCCCACUUGUGGGUAUUUCCCAGCCUCUCGGAGAAAUAGUAGAUUCACCGGGCCAAAUGAUGGCUCCUAGUUGCUUAUUAUUACUCUUAGCUGUUUUACCGUCUAUCUUCAGUUUAUAUGAAAUUCCAUCCUUCUCUGUCCAGAAUCCAAUGCUUCUCUGUCCUGUCCCAACUAUAUUCACAAUUUGAUAUGGAGAUGGAUGCAAUUCUCCAUUGAUGAGACGGAAUUCACCACUUAGUGCUGUUUUUAGCACUGUGUUUUGCAUAGAGUCAAGGAGCAGAGAUCCCAAUUCUGAGGUUCCAAGUGCAUCUAGGUCCGUUAAGUUCUCUCUAGUGUCCGGUUUCUUGAAUUUUGGGAUAGCAGUGCUGCCCAUUUCCACUACUGCUUUUGCUAACGCGGUGAUGCUAUCAUAUGCCCAUAGCCCAAAAACAUUGAGUUCAACUGGAUCCAUGUCUGGAUACACUUGACGAAAUCUCUUUCUCCAUCUCUUGGUGAACAUGUCAAGCUCAUUUGAUCUUGGAACAUAAGAUUUUACACCCAGAACACCUUGCAUUGAUGACUCAAUUACUGAAGGAUCUACCAGGUCCAGAAGACUUGUUAGCACAUCUGUGAUUAUCCAUGCAUAUCCACUGCUCAUCAUCCCGGCUUCUUUGGCCUUGAGGAAAAGGCGGGAGGCAAGAGAUGAUUCUAAGUGUACGAUGAACACCCUGGUCUGCAUUGUAUUCAACUUGUAUAGCUCCCUGAAGAUCUGAUCAUCACUGGCUGAAGGAGAAAUACCACUUCUAUAGGAGACUAAACUGUUGUUUUCCAGCAAGGCAUCUGUCAAAUGUGGAAGCAUCCCGCUUCCAUAGGGGCUAUCCUCAUAGAUUACUACAACGUCCCUCCAAUUAUAGUUUUUAACAAUUGCCGCUAUGGCUUUAGUCUGGCUGGAAGAAGGAAGUGCUCCUCUGAUGAAGAAGGGAUUUUCCUUGACUGAAAGUGAAGGACUAGUUGCUGGAGAAAUGAUAGGGACUUUUACUCGGUUCCCUAAGUCAAUCACAAAAUCAGUUUGUGUAGACAUUUGUGGCCCAACGAUGGCUUGUACUUGAACAUCCUUUAGCAAGUAUAUGGCUGCACAUACACAAUCAGACUAUAAGGAAUUGUCUGAACAGAAAACCAAAGGGAAAAAAGAAGAAAAGAGAAAAAGAUAUGCUAGCUUAACAGAAGUAAAUCAUGGAGCUGAAUUAAUUUACCUGCAGAUGCUGCUUCAACAUCAUCUUUCUUGGAAUCCCUCAAGUGAGGGACUAUCCUAAUAGCUCUGGGACUAGUGGUGGCAUGGUAAUCUUCAAGAGCUAGUAAGAUAGAUAUGUGCAUUACUUUUGCCACAACUGUUUCCAUAUAAGAACUAUACCCACAUCCACCUUUACAACACUAGUUUCAUCUUCACCUCUUAUUGGAAUUACAUAGUGGCAAAAGCUAAUAAUGGAGACAAGUUGAAUGAAGAGAAUUAGGCAGUAGUAUCUUUGAUUUUGCAUUUGAAAAACUCUGGUAGCAAGUAGUUUGAGAGUUGGGAAAGAAGCAAUUCUGCUUGUGCAAGUAAUUAACCACUUUCUAGAGAUGUGUCUAAAAAUCUCUUAACUGUGUGGCUCUAGAUAUAUGGUUUCAGAAUCUGGGAACUUCAUAUACUUGGACCAGUAAAUACCUUGCAAAACUAUAAUAAGGCAAUGUAGAAUGAAAAGUCAAAGAUAAAGUUUCCAAAGAAUAAUUGAGAGAGGACUUUUCAUACAUUCUUAACUAGUAAGUUCCCUCCUCAAUUUGACCCAAUAAAAAUCUGACAAAACGAACGCAGUGACAAAAACUCAUUUGGUUGACCUUGGAAUGGUGCUUAUUUUACAUGGUUCCUGUUUAUACUUGGUCAUUAGUAACUUGCUUGGACACCAAAUAAUGAAACAAUACCCACCAUUGGAUCGAGUGGCCGAUCUAGGAUUUUCAUUCAUGGGGAUUUGUAAAUAAAAAUGUAAAAAGUAUUAACUUCCUUGGACACUCAAUAAUGAAACAACCACCACCAUUGGCUCUAGUGGCAUGCUGAUUCAGGAUUUUCACUCUGAGAGUUCCGAAAAAUAAAAAUGUAAAAGAUAAUGCAGUCCUUGAGAAUUGAACCUUGGACAUUGGGGUGUAUUUUGAAUUUCCUGAAUUGCAGAGCUAACCUUUUGCAUGUUAUUUAGGGGAUUCACAAUUUAUAUGUACAUCAACAUAGAAAAUAUAUCCUAUAUAUACAUUUUAAUUUUUUGUUGAAGGGGUUUGGGUGAACACUCUCCGGCUCUUGAUUGGCUCAUUGACACUGUUAUUGUUAGUGCAAGAAGAAACUGCUAGGGAAGUUGCCUAUGAUAUAUGUUGAAGCAGAUGGGAUAUAAGAUUCUGAUUUGAUGGGUUCAAUAUUUAGGUUCUUACCAUUGAGCCCAUUACACUUUGAAAUUAUGGGUUCAUGUUCUAUUAUUUAUUAAAAUUUUAGUGAUUUUUCACAUUAUACUUUUAUGAUCCGUGUCGAAAAUGCAAAUCUUAUACUUAAAUUCGCCAUCCGCCCUGUGUGACUGAACAUAUUACUGUUUGUCUUCCAUGUAGCAGUGAUCCUAAAACCUUUCCUUAUUUAUGAUCUGUAACUAUGUUCUUAUCCUCUAGGCUAGUUCUAGCACCUGCAUUAUAAAUUCACUACUACUAGAUCUUUCUUUCUUAUUUAAUUUGGGCUUUGCAGAUUGCUUUUUCUUAUCAAAAAAUUGCACAAAUCUCUCAUGUGGUUAUUCACAUAUAACCCCCAUUAUUUCAUAUUUUAUAUAAGAAUUAUGUAAUCAAAAAAUAAUUUGGCAUCUUAUGUGUUGAUUUUAUUGUUUUUGUUCUAUUAUUGUAACAUAACAAAACUACCUCAAUUGAAUUUCUUGAAAACGGAUGCAUGUAUUGAAUUCUUUCAUGCCACACAUAUAACUUCGUUUAAUUAUAUUCCAAACAUAAGUACAACAACAACAACAUAAGUAGUGAUGAAAAAAACAAAGUGAACAUAAAAUUGCUAGAAAAACAACUAAGAAAAAGUAAGGGUUGAAUCCAUCUAAUGGAAUCCUGGAGGCCACCUCUUGAUGCUAAUAUUAUGGCCAAGAGUGACAAAGAAAUAAUGUAAUCUGAUUUAACUAACCCUAAAGCUAGCUCAUCUCUGUACAAUCUCUUGUAGGGCCCUAUUCAGGUGUGUCACAAUUAUGUUAGCAGCUAUCUGUGUCAUCUUUCUUCAAUCGUGCCUGACAUUGUUUCAUGAACUGGGGUUCCAGUUUCUGUUGUAGAGAACCCUUCAGAAGCAGGGGAUUCUCCUAGGCCAUCGGAGAUUCCGAUUUCUGGGCUUUGCAAAGGAAGGUUGGGCGAUAAUUCAAUAGAAGCAUCACUUUCUGCAAACACUGUAGCCGUUAGGCUUUCAUUCCCUUCAGAUGGCUUUUUUGACAUAGAAUUAGAGUCGUCUCUCUUUAAAUCAAAGACUUUUUGCUAUUGCACAAAGCUUUUUUCCUAUUGAAUCAUCAGUGGCUAAGAUUUCUCUAUUCUGAUAAAGGAAGAUGACGAAGAAUACGAGAAGAGCGGAGCCUGCUGAUACACCAGCUAUGAGGAAAAGGCCCUUAAAACUAUCAAGCGUGAGGCUAGAUGCUGUAGCCAUUCCAUCUGGCUUUGGACAAUCUGUUUCGUUCCCAAACCAUUUCUGAAUUAUGUUAUUCAUAGUCUCUCCCUCUAUCACCUUCAAGACUGCUCUUGAGACGUCAGGUACCAAAGGAGAUCCUUUUGGAAAUGCCUGCAACAAGUUGUGGGAAAAUUAAAGAUUAGAUCAUUGAGUAAACCACUAACCACUCUAAAUAAAUGUCAACACUUUCUGAAACAUCAGUUAAGUACAACAAUCUUACAAAUCCAAAGCCGGCAGCCUUGUAUGUCGGACCAACCAUAAUAUACUUCCUGCAGUAUUUGUUCAGCAAGAGUCUGAGAUAAGGUAGUUCAUCAACAAUUGCACCAACACCUCCAUUUUUACUACCUCUUGAGAGUGCAUCAUUAUACUCUUCCAAUGUGCUAUAACUCCUAAAUUUGGAGCUGUCAAAUUUCAUGCGUGUCAAGACAUCUUUGACAAAGGAACCUUUUUGGUACCCUACAUAUUCUCCAUUCUUGAUGAGAUCAUUGAGGUCUGUUAUAGUAGGUUGAAGCUGUUGCACUGUUAACAUAGAUGUUAAGCUGGCUGUAUAGCUUGAUGUCAGCACCAGAACCACGAAAACCCACACAAUCAGCACAAAUCUUGAUAAGUUACUUGUUAUCUUCUCUUCUG
rnacentral:lncRNA from 1 species